rnacentral:rRNA from 1 species
CGUCUAUAUACGUAUAGCAUAUCAAUAAGCGGAGGAAAAGAAACUAACAAGGAUUCCCCUAGUAACGGCGAGUGAAGCGGGAAGAGCUCAAAUUUGAAAUCUUAAAGGGUUUCCCUUUACGAAUUGUAGUUUAAAGAAGUGUUUUCUGUUGGAGUUUCGGUAAAAGUUCUUUGGAAUAGGACAUCAUAGAGGGUGAGAAUCCCGUAUUUGACCGUUACUUUCCAGCUUUGUGAUACACUUUCAAAGAGUCGGAUUGUUUGGGAAUGCAGUCCAAAAUGGGUGGUAAAUUUCAUCUAAAGCUAAAUAUUGGCGAGAGACCGAUAGCGAACAAGUACCGUGAGGGAAAGAUGAAAAGAACUUUGAAAAGAGAGUUAAACAGUACGUGAAAUUGUCAAAAGGGAAGCGUUUGACACCAGUGUUGUUUUUUCGAAAAUCAAUUAAGAAUGGCCGGAUUUUAAGUUUCAUGACCUUAAAAGCUUGUUUCUUAUUUUUCUUGUCUUUCUUAAUGCACUUUUCGGUUAACAAGUCAACAUCAAUUUCUUUUGUUGUAAAAGGUUAAGAGGAAGGUGGCUUUACUUUCGGGUAAAGUGUUUAUAGCCUUUUAACUCUGCAAUCGGAGAGAUUGAGGUCUGCAGCGUAGAUCCUUUCUUGGCUAGAUACAUUUGUGCUAAGUUAUAGCUUUUCAUAGACAACAUUGUUGACUAUAUUUAGUCUUGUAGCUUACUCGCUAUGCCUAAUUUUACCUACGCUUAGGAUGUUGAUAUGCAUGACUGAUAU